AAUGUUGUGUUGUGGUUCGGGAGAAGAAGCAGGAAAAUACUGUGCCGGUGCUCAGCGAGGAUGAAAUGGACGCAUCCAGGUUUUCCGGUGGGACUUUCAAAGCAGCACGGUUACAAACAUAGGCGACGUGAAGAGCAAGAACCGUAAGAGCUGGUCAUCUUGGAUUCGAGACGGCUGAACGUGCGAACGUCCGAUUUCGGACUGUCUGCUCCAGGUUCCAGCUGAUUCUGGAGGAGUUGCCACGACCUAGAGGAUGCCCCAAGCUGGCCGGAGACCACGGCAACGAGCAGCAGCAGCAGCACUGGAGACAGAAUCAGAACCGGACAUCUUCGAGUGCUGCUUUCUGUAGCAACCGGUACGUUGCUCCCGAUCCAUGGCAUCAAAUCACCGUUGCUUGUCACAGUCCGGUGCGGGUUGAGUAUGCGCGCAGCUUCUACACCACGGCUGUAAACCGCCCGGUAGUGGCAGCUCCUGCCACCGCAAGUGAUGCUGCCCGUUCGUUGGCGCCCAUUCGGAGUGACAUCGAUCAACGGCCUUGGUCGUGACACUGCUGUCGGCAUUUGAACAAGCGAAGCUGCACUUUACAGCGCUGAACAAUUGUGGGCAAAUGUAUCCUGGCCCAUCGGUAGUACCGAUCACAGCCGUCAGCAACUCACGACACCGGCGGCACCCCUGCUGCCGAGUACCUGAAAAACAUCUUCCCCAAGUAAAAUCGUUUUAGGUGAGGAAAUCAUGGCCAAACUUACCAACUGAUCAAGAAGCACACAAAGAUGUCCAUUGGAGGACCUGCCAAGUAGACAAUCUGUCUAAAAUGAAGUUGAAAUAUUGUGAAAUUUGUCGCAUUUCAUAAUCCCUUUUCCAAACAAACAGUUUAAUAACAUCACAUUAUUCAAACAGCAGUUUCUCAAACAUUUACCGAUCUACGCAACAAGUAUUCACACAUAAGUAACAAUCAACACUCACUUUUAGUUGUUUGAACUUAAAUUUUCAACAAAAACAAUUAAAUUGAGCGAUUGACUCUUGCCAGGCUGCGAAUAAGCCAACAAAUGCGAAUAAACAAAUUUCAUUGUUUUGUUUUCAGCUGUCAUCCACACAGAAAAAAAAGUGUAAAAUUACCCGACACGGAAACCUUGUUUUAGACGUAAACUCGCUUCAUGUAAAUUUGAAAUCCGAUGUAAAUGGUUGAGUGCAUCUCCAGCGCUGGGGUGCAAAUCAAAUUUGCACCCGGCUCAUGAAUACCGAGAUCAAAUUUGCCACCUUGAAAAAACUCCGUCAUCCCCACCGCUAGGGUAGCAAAUUUGCCACCGAAACAAGCCCACUGCGGGGGGCAAAUAUGGGUUUUUAUCAUUUUUUGCUCUCGUUUACCUUCAAAAUCAAUAAUUAUGUGUUGAUUCAUGCCUAGAAAUGCUAAAAGUUCAUUAAAAUUUUAAAUCCUAUUGAAAAUUUCAAAGAAUUUCAUUUUUCGAAAAUGUCGAAAGUUAAACCAUUUGCUACCCGAUUUGAUUCCCACCUAAUUUGCUCUCGAGUUUUCCCCCGAGUCUCCCACCGCGCGUAGCAAAGCAGGUAUCAAAUUUGAUCUCAAGUUCAUCUGUAGAAGAAAAAUAUGUGUCGGUACCUGUCGGGUACUCAUUUUCUGAUACCCGACAAGUACCGGCAAGCCGGGGGCAAAGUUUUGAAUGCGUGUUUCGGAGAUUUUCUAUG